rnacentral:rRNA from 1 species
GAUGAACGCUGGCGGCGUGCUUAACACAUGCAAGUCGAACGGAAAGGCUCCUGCUUGCAGGGGUACUCGAGUGGCGAACGGGUGAGUAACACGUGGGUGAUCUGCCCUGCACUUCGGGAUAAGCCUGGGAAACUGGGUCUAAUACCGGAUAGGACGAUGGUUUGGAUGCCAUUGUGGAAAGUUUUUCGGUGUGGGAUGAGCUCGCGGCCUAUCAGCUGGUUGGUGGGGUAAUGGCCUACCAAGGCGUCGACGGGUAGCCGGCCUGAGAGGGUGUACGGCCACAUUGGGACUGAGAUACGGCCCAGACUCCUACGGGAGGCAGCAGUGGGGAAUAUUGCACAAUGGGCGCAAGCCUGAUGCAGCGGCGCCGCGUGGGGGAUGACGGCCUUCGGGUUGUAAACACCUUUCGCUAGGGACGAAGCGCAAGUGACGGUACCUGGAGAAGAAGCACCGGCUAACUACGUG